rnacentral:rRNA from 1 species
AAUAGAUACCCGGGUAGUCCACGCCGUAAACGAUGAGUGCUAAGUGUUAGGGGGUUUCCGCCCCUUAGUGCUGCAGCUAACGCAUUAAGCACUCCGCCUGGGGAGUACGGUCGCAAGACUGAAACUCAAAGGAAUUGACGGGGGCCCGCACAAGCGGUGGAGCAUGUGGUUUAAUUCGAAGCAACGCGAAGAACCUUACCAGAUCUUGACAUCCCAUUGACCACUAUGGAGACAUAGUUUUCCCUUCGGGGACAACGGUGACAGGUGGUGCAUGGUUGUCGUCAGCUCGUGUCGUGAGAUGUUGGGUUAAGUCCCGCAACGAGCGCAACCCUUGUUCUUAGUUGCCAUCAUUUAGUUGGGCACUCUAAGGAGACUGCCGGUGACAAACCGGAGGAAGGUGGGGAUGACGUCAAAUCAUCAUGCCCCUUAUGACCUGGGCUACACACGUGCUACAAUGGACGGUACAAACGGUUGCCAACCCGCGAGGGGGAGCUAAUCCGAUAAAACCGUUCUCAGUUCGGAUUGUAGGCUGCAACUCGCCUACAUGAACG